rnacentral:rRNA from 1 species
GACGAACGCUGGCGGCGUGCUUAACACAUGCAAGUCGAACGGAGAAUUUUAUUUCGGUGAAAUUCUUAGUGGCGAACGGGUGAGUAACGCGUAGACAACCUACCUCUCAGAUGGGGACAACAUCGCGAAAGCGGUGCUAAUACCGAAUGAUGUAACUUUUCUGCAUGGAAGAGUUACCAAAGGCGGCCUCUAUUUAUAAGCUGUCACUGAGAGAUGGGUCUGCGUCUGAUUAGCUAGUUGGCGGGGUAAUGGCCCACCAAGGCGACGAUCAGUAGGCGGUCUGGGAGGAUGAACGGCCACAUUGGGACUGAGACACGGCCCAAACUCCUACGGGAGGCAGCAGUGGGGAAUCUUCCGCAAUGGACGAAAGUCUGACGGAGCAACGCCGCGUGAGUGAAGGAGGUUUUCGGAUCGUAAAGCUCUGUUGUUUGAGACGAACGUGCAAUUUUUGAAUAAGGAAUUGUAAUGACGGUAUUAAACGAGAAAGCCACGGCUAACUACGUGCCAGCCGCCGCCGUAA